ACUUAUCUAAUAUAAUAAGUAUAUCUAACUUCCAAUUAGAAAGUUUGCAAAAAACGCAAGAUAAGUA
rnacentral:tRNA from 1 species